rnacentral:tRNA from 1 species
GCGUAGAUGCAGGUGAACGGCCCUGGACGACUGCCAGCGGACCACCCACAGGCUUGGAAAGCGUGUUGGGGGCACCCCCUUGCGAGUUCGAAUCUCGUAAUCCUCCGCA